AUUGAACGCUGGCGGCAGGCCUAACACAUGCAAGUCGAACGAGUGGCGGACGGGUGAGUAAUGUCUGGGAAACUGCCCGAUGGAGGGGGAUAACCACUGGAAACCGUAGCUAAUACCCCAUAUCACCGGAUGUGCUCAGUUGGGAUUCGCUUGUGGGUAAGGUAACGGCUCACCAAGGCUACGAUCCCUAGCUGGGCUGAGAGGCUGACCAGCCACACUGGAACUGAGACACGGUCCUGACUCCUACGGGAGGCAGCAGUGGGGAAUAUUCCACAAUGGGCGCAAGCCUGAUGCAGCCAUGCCGCGUGUAUGAAGAAGGCCUUCGGGUUGUAAAGUACUGUUAGCAGGGAGGCGGUACCCAAAGAAGAAGCAACGGCUAACUCCGUGCCAGCAGCCGCGGUAAUAC
rnacentral:rRNA from 1 species